CGCCCCCCCCACUCCACCCUCCCCUACAAAGACUGUGGUGGCCCCAGCUUGGGGUGAGAUCUGGGCAUCAAGAGUUUCAAAGAGCAUGCAGGAACUCUGAUAUGCAGCCGGCAUGGAGACCAACCCGACAUACAGUAGGCGCACAGCACUGCUGAAGUCUGAUGUUCUGCUCUGAGGACCUCUUCCAGCCAGCAUGCCGUGCCUAAGUGAGAAGAAGUGGCCAGAGGAAGCUAUGUACCUCUGAGUGUGGGAGUCCUACUCAUGUACAUUGUAUGUGUCUGUAUGGAGCUUUGUGCCCCUAAGUGUGGCAGUCCUUGGAAGCCAGAAGCUGCAGAUCGUCCUGGAGCUGGUCAUACAGGCAGUUGUGAGCCCCGACGAUUCAGGUCGUCUGGAGGAUCAGUAAGUGCUCUGAACCAUCAAACCUUAUCUCCAUAACAACCCUGCUCCUCCUGUCCCCUCCUACCCUAUCUGGACUCAUUCUUCUCCCUUAGAGAUCCCGCUCCAACUUUCAUUCCUGUUUGUUUGUUUGUUUGUUUGUUUGUUUGUUUUUAUGGCCCACUGAGUUUAGUUACGCUUGCCUGCAGACACAUGCAUGUGUGCAUGGUUACUGAAUGCCUCACAGGCAACUUUUUCAAAGAUGACUCCCCCUCCCUUAGCAGACAGUAACUACCAAGAACCUUCCACUUGGGAUGGAUCCUUGUUUGCCGCUCCCCGAUCUGAGUUUUUAUUUCUGGAAGGCUCUGGGUAUCAUGAAGCUUACAUCCGUCCUAAGUGAAUGCACUCUACACCAGAGGGCCCUGGGGACUCCACACCGGGCGAGCUGUGCAGUCAGCCAAGGUGCACAGCAGCAGAUAAAGGAAAUCUGUGUGUGUGUGUGUAUGUGUGUGUGUGUGUGUGUGUGUGUGUGUGUGUGUGCGCGCGCGCGCGCGCGCGCGCACGAAAUGCAGCUUCAGCCAGUCAUAAAGAGUAGAGUUAUGUCAUUUGCAGGGAAAUGGUCAGAGUUAGGGAUAGUCAUGUGAAAUGAAACAAGUCGGACUCAGAAAGACAAACAUCACUAAUGCAAAUUUAGGAGAGUAAGGCUGCCAGGAGAUGUAUCAGCGAUAGAGUGCUUACCCAACACGCACCAGGUCCAGGUUCAAUCCCUGGUAGUGGGGGAGGAAGGAAGGAAGACAGUCCAAGGGACUCUGUGGAUGCUUCAUUGUCUUGAGACAGAUUUCACUGUUUAUCUCAAGCUGGUUUGGAACUCAAGGCAAUCCCCCUGCCUUGGUCUCCAAAGUUCUGGGGUCACAGGUGUGAGCCACUAUGCUCAGCUAGAAGGCACUCUUUGGAAAGAGGAAGGGGAUCCAUGAGGGAAAGAAACAGAAGGCAGUGGGGGUUAAACAUGACCAAAGCACAUUACAUGUGUGUGUGUCGAUGGCAUGAGGAAGCCAUUGCUUUGUACUGUGAACGUACAGUAGUCAAAAAUGUGUGCGCCUCCUCUGUCAGUCUGUCGCAUGUACCAAGGGUCCUAGUCAUUACCCUUGUGAGGGAAAGGACAGAGACUAUUCCCCUAGACAUCGUUGUUAUAAACCCAAUACUGUACUAACCCAACAGUCCUCAGAAAGGGUCUAUCUGUAACCUCUCCCAUUCCACAGAAGAGGAGACUGAGGCACAAGAAGCACAAACAGUUCCGGGAAGAUGACUCAAUGGGUGAAGGGACUUGCUUGCCACAGAGCCCUGGCAACCUGAGUGUGAUCUCUGGAACCCACAAGGGUAGAAGGAGAGAACCGAUUCCAAAUCCCCUGACCCACACGCCCAUACACAUACACAUACACAUACACAUACACAUACACAUACACAUACACAUACACAUACACAUACACAUACACAUAGACUGAGUUUUAAAAAUUGAGUUUGAGAUCAGCUUGGGAUAUGUGAGACCCUGUCCAAAAAAGAAGGAAGGAAGGAUGGUUUAUAGUUUACCCUUCUCCCCCUGGAUAUACACAUAGGUUGAAUAUUAACUUACAUAGGUUGAACAUUUACAUAGGUUAAAUUUAAGAACUAGGGCUAGGGUUACGGCUCAGUUGGUAAAGUGUUUGGCCAGCAUGCACAAAGCCCCUAGGUUCUACCCUUAGCAGUGCAUAAAUCAGGCAUGGCAGUAUGAAUCUGUCACCCUAGCCCCCGGGAAGUGGACACAGGAGGCUCAGAAGCCAAGGGCAUCAUGAGCUACAUACCAAUCUGAGGCCAACCUGGGCUACAGGAGAUUUUGUUUCAAAAAGAAAAAGUUGUAAGUGAUGCUCAUUGUUGAGCAUCAUUGGUUUUGAUACCUGAGGGGGACCUAGAAGUAGUCUCUAUGGAUACCAAGGGACCACUGUUUAUUGCCUCAAGACUGUGAAGUAAAUGUCAGGGAAGAACCAUAACACCACACACACACACACACACACACACACACACACACACACACUCAUGCCUCCAUGUGCAUGCUGCUAAACACACACGCACACACUCAUGCCUCCAUGUGCAUGCUGCUAAACACACACACACACACACACACACACACACACACACACAUCCGCAUGCACUUCUAACCACACAAAGUUUAGGUACAGCCAUUCUAAUGCAAAAGCCAGGAUUGGGCCUCUCUAGAAGUGUUGGACUGGAGAAGUACCUUGAAGAACUGGUUUGGUUGUUAGGUAGCUGUGAGCACAGCCAGAAAGCACCACCACUUGGAUUCUCAAAGGACAAGUAACGUGAGCCUACAUUGGCUUACUUCCCUUCCAGCCUGAAACUCUUCUGAAUGAGCAGAGGAACCUUCAUGAAAACUUGGUCAGCACUGCCCCCUGGUGGCGAGGAGAGGGACUGUGAGCCUGAUACUCAGAAGGGAAAAUGUCUUGUCACCAGGGCCCCAAAGGUUCCUAGGGUCUCAGUCACCAACUCGGCUUGUUCAUGGGCAUUCUAACAACUCUGGGGGGCGGGGGAGUUUCCACUGAGCCCUCCAAGUCAAUACCAAAUGUCCUCAGGCAUGUACCAGUUGGCUGUUAGUGGCAAUGGGACCAGGUUGGGGAGGCCAAAGCAUGCUGACUGGCAUAGGGCUUGAGACCGGCCCAGCGGUGCAGAGGACCGAGGUUAGGUCCCUAUGGUGGCUCACUACCAUCUGUAACUCCAGUUGCAGGAUAUCCAACACCCUCUUCUGGCCUCCCUGGGUCCAUAUAGUCCACAGACAUGCAUGCAAGCAAAACAUUCAUAUAUGUAAAAUAAAAGAAUACAUCUUUUAACAUAGCCUUUCCAACCACCCUGGUGCUGCACGUUUGAUGGUUUGAAUAAGAUUGUUCCUCAUAGAGUCACACAUUUGAAUUCUUGGUCUCUAGUUGGUAGAACAGCAAACAGCGGGAUUAGGAGAUGUGACCAUGCUAAGGUGGGUGUGUCAUUAGGGGUGGGCUACAGAGCUACAGCGAGUUGCCAGACAGCCAAGGAUACAAACAGAAGUCCUACCUCAGAAAACAAAACAAAACAAAACCGUGAACUCUCAGCUACGGCUCCAGCACCAUGCCUGUCUGCCUGCUUGUGGCCAUGUUCCCCACCCUCUGUCACUGUAACAAGUCCCCAACUAAAUGCUUUAUUCUAAAAGUUACUUUGGUCAUGGUGUCUCUUCACAGCACUGGAUCAAUAACUAAGACAGGCGGUUAAAGUUUAGGGGUAGGACAGAUGUAAAACGGAUGAGUUGAAGGCAAUCGAUCUAGGUAGCAAUGAGAGCUGCACCGUCUCAGAAGUACCAGACUACUACCUCCGCCUUCUGCUCCAGCCUUCUAGAACUUUCCAUGCUUCCCCUGCACUGUGAACCAUAAGGCCUGCUGGAGUUUGCCCAUUGUCAGGCCUCUUGUUAGCUGUUAGCUCCAUUCCUCAGCCAUGAAUCCUUAGACGCUGUGCCCACCAGAGCAGAGUUAGGAUUUCAAACAUCCCCUGGAAAAUAGGCUUCUCACUUUCUCUGUCUCUGUCUCUCUCUGUCUGUCUCUCUGUCUCUCACUGUCGCUGUCUCUCUGUCUGUCUGUCUCUGUGUCUCUGUCUCUCUGUCUGUCUCUGUCUCUCUUUCUCUCUCUGCAGCAGCACAUGCCUUUUUUUUUUUUUUUUUGGUUCUUUUUUUCGGAGCUGGGGACUGAACCCAGGGCCUUGCACUUCCUAGGCAAGCGCUCUACCACUGAGCUAAAUCCCCAACCCAGCAGCACACGCCUUUAAUCCUAGCACUUGGGAGGCAGAGGCAGACAGAUCUCUGAGUUCAAGUCCAGCCUGGGCUACAGAGGGAGUUCAGGAGAGCCAGGGCAACAUAACGAGACUCUGUUUCAAAAAAAAAAAAAAACAACCCACAAACCAAGCAAGAACCUGGCAGAGGCCAGACAGAGAGGGUCAUGCCUAUAAUCCCAGCAUUCAGGAUGUUGAAGGAGGAGGUGACGCGGAACCUUCUGGGCCCUGUCAGUGUUUGAACCCUGCUGAUGCAUAUGGAAGCCUUUUGUUCCUUACAAAGGAACACCCCGACCUUUCUGUUUGCACUGGGUGGUACACCUGGGCAGUAACAUUGUUAAAUUGGUUCCUGUUUUUUGUUCUUCUUUCUUUGAAAGCCUUUUUUUUCCACUGUGCUUCCUGGAUUUCUCCACCCUGUGAACUUGGGGUAUAUAUUUGGUGAAUCUCAGUAAAAGAUUUGGCAUUCACAUAACACAAAUGACCAAAGUAUGUGUUUUUUCUUAAACCUCGUGCAGGCCUACACCCGGUUCUCAGUACCAUGGAGGCGUGGGCCCGGACAAGGAGGGUUGUCGUGAGUUUUGAGAGCAGACUGUUCUACAAAACAAUGAAAAAUCCUGAACAAAGUAUUACUGGGAGCUGGGGAGAUGCCAGUAUCACCGAUUGUUUGCCAUGCAAGCAUAAAGACUUGAGUUGGACUGGAGAGAUGGCUCAGUGGUUAAGAACACUGACUGCUCUUCCAGAGGUCCCAAGUUCAAACCCCAGCAACCACAUGGUGGCUCACAACCAUCUGUAAUGAGAUCUGAUGCUUUCAUCUGGUGUGUCUGAAGACAGCUACAAUGCACUCAUAUAUAAUAAAUAAAUAAGUCUUUAAAAAAAAUGGAGAAAUGGCUCAGAGGUUAAGAGCACUGUCUGCUCUUCCAGAGGUCAUGAGUUCAAUUCCCAGCAACCACAUGGUGGCUCACAACCAUCUAUAAUGAGAUCUGGUGCCCUCUUCUGGCCUGCACGCAUACAUGCAGGUGGAACGCUGUAUACAUAACAAAUAAAUCUUAAUAAAUAAAAUAAAUAAAUAAAUAAAUAAAUAAAUAUAUAAAGACUUGA